rnacentral:rRNA from 1 species
GACGAACGCUGGCGGCGUGCUUAAUACAUGCAAGUCUACGAUUUUUAAAGUAGCAAUAUUUUAAAGAGAGUGGCGCACGGGUGAGUAACACGUAGGUAAUCUGCCUUUAGGUCUGACACAACUCGUCGAAAGACGGGCUAAUAUCAGAUAAUGCAGCGAUCCGGCAUCGGGUUGUUGUCAAAGCUUCGGCGCCCAAAGAUGAGCCUGCGGUCCAUUAGGUAGUUGGCGGAGUAACGGCCCACCAAGCCAACGAUGGAUAGCUGGUCUGAGAGGAUGAUCAGCCACACUGGAACUGAGACACGGUCCAGACUCCUACGGGAGGCAGCAGUGGGGAAUUUUGCGCAAUGGGGGAAACCCUGACGCAGCAACGCCGCGUGAGUGAUGAAGGCCUUCGGGUCGUAAAGCUCUGUCAGAGGGAAGAAGUGCAGUGGUGCUAAUACCAUCAUUGCUUGACGGUACCCUCAAAGGAAG